rnacentral:rRNA from 1 species
UACGGAGGGUGCAAGCGUUGUUCGGAAUUAUUGGGCGUAAAGCGCGUGUAGGCGGUUGAGUAAGUCAGAUGUGAAAGCCUUCCGCUCAACGGAAGAAGUGCAUUUGAAACUAUUCAGCUAGAGUACGGGAGAGGAGAGUGGAAUUCCCGGUGUAGAGGUGAAAUUCGUAGAUAUCGGGAGGAACACCAGUGGCGAAGGCGGCUCUCUGGUCCGAUACUGACGCUGAGACGCGAAAGCGUGGGGAGCAAACAGG